GCGGGAGUGGCCAAGUGGUUAAGGUACUGCCUCCCCAGCGACCACACGAUCACUGAAAGGCAGGGAUCGAGUUCGAACCUCUCCUUCCGCA